AACGCACGAGACCUGCGGACCUGCGGAAGGAUCAUUAAUGAAUUAACUUGGUUGAGUUGUUGCUGGCUCCUCUGGGGCAUGUGCACACUCACCCUCAGUUUUUCAAACCCCUGUGCACUUUUUGUAGGCUAGACUGUAGAUGUGAACGAAACUUGUAUUGGUUUCCAAACGUCUGUUUUCUAGUCUAUGUUUUUAUUUAUACCCCGAAUGCAUGUAAUAGAAUGUAUUGAUAGGCUGUAA
rnacentral:misc_RNA from 1 species